AGGUCACAUGGGUCUAAAAUUCUUAUUGGUACACUUUACUACUUAAUCAAUUUAUUAACUAUUGUAUCUGGAAAACAGUACGUGAUUAACAAAAUGUAAUUACAUAUUCUUAAGAAGUUUCGUGAUGUCAAAUAGAACAAUUUAUAACUAAGUACGAGUAAUAUAACUUUAGUUAGAUUCUUCAGUACUCUGUUAGACAUUAUCAUCGCCACAUCCCAAUGAGCAAUAACACAAAAACGCGACAAUCUGUAUGUAUUUUUGACAAACCAUAUUUAAAAAAACUUACACUCAAAAUUAAAAACUCGAUUCAGGUGAU